UACGGAGGAUGCGAGCGUUAUCCGGAUUUACUGGGUUUAAAGGGUGCGUAGGCGGACUGUCAAGUCAGCGGUAAAAUUGAGAGGCUCAACCUCUUCCCGCCGUUGAAACUGGUGGUCUUGAGUGGAUGAGAAGUACGCGGAAUGCGUGGUGUAGCGGUGAAAUGCAUAGAUAUCACGCAGAACUCCGAUUGCGAAGGCAGCGUACCGGCAUCCAACUGACGCUGAGGCACGAAAGCGUGGGGAUCAAACAGG
rnacentral:rRNA from 1 species